UCCAGAGUGCUAUGAUUCAUUACUGGUUA
rnacentral:piRNA from 1 species